rnacentral:lncRNA from 1 species
CCACCCCGUCUGGGAGGGAUCUGUGGAAAUUUGAUCUUGAGAGUGAGCACUCAAUGUAUUUGGUGGAAGAAAUGUCAAAGCAGCAAAGCAUUCAAGAUGUGGCCUGGCUGCUUCUAACAACCUACACUAAGAUGUGGAAGCAAAGAAAUGACUUAAAGUUGGAAUUUAUAUUUAAACUGGAAGCAGAGCAUAAAAGUUUGAAAAUUUGCCAUCUGGCCAUGUGGUAGAAAAAAGAAGCCUAUUUUCCAAGGAAACAUAAAAGCAGGCUGUGGAGAAACAAUGUGCUUGAGAAAUUUGCAUAAAUAAAAAGGAGCCAAGUGCUAAUAGUCAAGACAAUGAGAAAAAAACCUUGAAGAAUUUUCAGAACUUUGUGGUGGCUCCUCCCAUCAAAGGCUCAGAGGCUUAGAAGGAGAGAAUAGUUUUGUAGGCCAGGACUAGGGCCUUGCUGCCCUGCAAAGCUUCAGGAAACUGCUCCCCACAUCCUGGCCACUCCAGUUCCAGCCACAUAUCAAAGGGGCACAAAUACCAUUCAGACCACUGUUUCAGAGGGUGCAAGCCAUAGUAAGCCUUGGCAGCAUCCAUGUGGUGUUUAGUCUGUUGGAUAACAGAAUGCAAGAGUGAAGGAAGCUUAGCAGCAUUGGCUUGAUUUCACCAGAUGUAUAAAAAAGCCUGAGUGCCCAAGCAGAAGCCUGCUACAGAUGUGGAGCCCUCACAGAGAACCUCUACUAGGGUAGUGCAGAAGAGAAAUGUGGAAUUGGAGGUCCCCACUGGGUCAGUGCCUAAUGCAGCUGUGAGAAGGGUGUCAACAUCCUCCAAACCCUAGAAUGGCAAAUCCACCAGAAACUUGCACCUCACAUCUGGAAAAGCUGCAGACAUUUAAUAAACUCUGAAAGCAGCCCUGGGGCAGAGUUGCUGAAGGCCUUGGGAGCCCACGUUUUGCACCAGUGUACCCUUUGUGGUUUUGAUUUGUAAUAUAGUCAAAAGAGAUUAUUUUGGAGUUUAAAGAUUUAAUUACUUUCCUGCUGGGUUUUGAACUUUUGUGAAGCCUGUAGCCCCUUUCUCUUGACUAAUUUCUCCCUUUUGGAUGGGGAACGUUUAACCAAUGCAUAUACCCCCAUUGCAUCUUGGAAAUAAGUAACAUAUUUUCAAUGUUACAGGCUCAUAGGCAGAAUAAAAUGAGUCUCAGAUAACACUUAAAACUUUGGACUUGGUGCUUGAAUGAGUUCAGACUUUUAGGGGAGUGUUGGGAAGAGAUCUCUAUAUUUUGCAAUGUGAGAAGAACAUGAGAUUUUGGUGGCCAAGGAUAGAAUCAUAUGGUUUGGAUUUGUGCCCCUGCCAAAUCUCAUAUUAAAAUGUAAUCCUCAGUGUUGAAGGUGGGACCUGGUAGGAGGUGUUUGGAACAUGGGGGCAUAUCCUGUAUGAAUGGCUCAGCAUCAUCCCCUGGGUUAUAAGUCUGUUCACCCAAGAUCUCAUUGUUUAAAGGUGUGGCAACUCCCUUGCACCCUUCCUCCUGUUUUCAACAUGUGAUGUGCCUGCUCCUGCUUCACCUUUUUUCAUGAGUAAAAGCUCCCUGAGGUUUACCCAAAAAUCAAGCAGAUGCUGGUGUUGUGUUUCCUGCAUAGCCUGUGAACUGUGAGCCAAUUAAACAUCUUUUUUAAAAUAAGUCACUCAAAUAAAAUAAAAUAAAUCAUGCACUCUUUGAUAUUUCUUUAUAGCAAUGCAAGAAGAGGUGAACACAGCAUUCUUUUACAUAUUUAUUGUACUUUUGUAUAUUUCAAAUUAUAUAUAUGUAUAUAUAUACAUGUAUGUAUAAAUGUUUAGAGUCUUUUGGAAAAAUGUCUAUUGAUACUUUGCCUAUUUUUAUUUUCAUUCGUUAAUAAAAUUUUAACUUUUAUUUUAGACUCAGGGGACACAUAUGGAGGUUUGUUACCUGGGUAUAUUGUGUAAUGCAGAGGUUUGGGAUACAAUUUUUUCUGUUACCCAAGUCCUGCACAUAGUACCCAGUAGUUUUUUUAACAUUUGUCUGCCUCCAUCUCUACCUCACAGUAGUCAUCAGUGUCUAUUGUUGCCAUCUUUAUUUCCCUGAGUUUCCUUUGUUUAGCUCCCACUUAUCACUGAGAACACGAAGUAUUUGGUUUUCUGUUCUUGCAUUAAUUCACUUAGACUUAUAAUAUCCAGCUGCAUCUGUGUUGCUGCAAAUGACAUGAUUUCAUUCUUUUUUAUGACUGUGUAGUAUUCUUUCUUAGUAUGUUUCCGUUUUUAAAAUUUUUUCUACAUCCAUUAUAGGUUUCUGCUUUGUGGCCACCAUGAGUCUUGCAAAUAACAUCUUGUGGCCAAUUAUUUUGAAUUGAUGAUAACUCAAUCACAAAGAAAAAAAAAAAACUAAGAAAAUGUAAAAUAUCCCACUUUGCCCUCCCCAAUUCUUGACUUCUGUUGUUCCAUUUAUGUCAUUUUUAUUGUCUCUCUAUUAACACAUUAUUGUAGUUAUUUUUCAUAGAUUUAUCUGUUAGUGUUUCUACUAAAGAUAUGAGUGGUUUAUACAAAACAUUUGCAGUCUUAGAGUAUUCUUGCCUGUGUGCUUACUUUUG